UUUGGGUUGUAAAACUUUGUUGCCUGGUAAGAACAAGUGUCGUUAGAACAGGGCGGCGCCUUGACGGUACCCGGCCAGAAAGCCACGGCUAACUACGUGCCAGCAGCCGCGGUAAUACGUAGGUGGCAAGCGUUGUCCGGAAUUAUUGGGCGUAAAGCGCGCGCAGGCGGAUUCUUAAGUCUGAUGUGAAAUCUCGCGGCUCAACCGCAAGCGGUCAUUGGAAACUGGGAGGCUUGAGUGCAGAAGAGGAGAGUGGAAUUCCACGUGUAGCGGUGAAAUGCGUAGAGAUGUGGAGGAACACCAGUGGCGAAGGCGGCUCUCUGGUCUGUAACUGACGCUGAGGCGCGAAAGCGUGGGGAGCAAACAGGAUUAGAUACCCUGGUAGUCCACGCCGUAAACGAUGAGUGCUAAGUGUUAGAGGGUUUCCGCCUUCAGUGCUGCAGCUAACGCAUUAAGCACUCCGCCUGGAGUGGCCCGGGUUU
rnacentral:rRNA from 1 species